UGAUGCAAAUGUUAAAAAUCGUAUAUGUAUAAUACGAACUGGAAUGAUUUCAAUAAUGAAAGUACCACUACAAUAGAAAUUGGUUUACUGAUUUUUAAUAGUGCGAUUCCUAUCGUAUCAUAUAAUAUAAACUGAAAGAAGCUACAGCAGAGAAGAAACUUGGAACAUCUGUUUCCGAGAUGCAAGAGUACAAGCAGACAAAUUGGAAUUUCCAGACUCAUUCAAGAGGGAACGUUCACAAAUUUUAUCAUUUCUUCUAAUCUGUUAUAAUUUCAUCGUCUAACAACGAAAACGAUUAAAUGCUGACGAGAAUCAAAAUAAAAACUCUAUCGAAACACCAAGACCGUAUAUAAAAUUGCCAGAAACAGAACUCACCAUUGCUGGAAGAUGGGACCUUCCUCUAGGACACUGUAAUCUCUCCUGCUUGAGUUACGAGACACUUCUACGAUGAUCGGUACUAGCAGCAGCCCUUAAAUAGUCGUUUCGACGGCUGCAUACGUUACGAUGUCCUUCCUUUCUCCUCAUGCGUGAGAAAAUUUCUCAGCACAAUACACCCUAUUUCUUUGAUCCCACGGGGUCGAAGGUUGCGCGAACCGAGAUUUUUACCUGUUUCCGGGCUGGCAAAAAGGGGAUGCUCGGGUAUUCGGAUACGCUACAGCCUGAGGGAUGAUGACUACGAAGAGGGGAAAGAUGGUAACGGUCGUUUUCUUUCAGGUUCUAUAGACAAGGGUGCAGGUUUCAGUUCGUGAGAAUCAAAUCUAGCAGGGCAAGAAAAUUCAAAUUACAACAUUAAAAAGAUGAUUCACUUUUGAUCUACGAAGGCUGAAAUUGUUGCAACAGUAACAUUAUAUUUUUGUCAUUGAUUUAAGAAGCAAAAUAUAUGUUAGAUAAGAUGAUUAAAAAACAACAGAUCUGUCGUUACUGUGGACCUUUGCAUCUUUUAUUUGAAAUUGAAACCUCAGAGCUACAAAAAUUGCAUAGGACGGGCAUACAAUGUGCAAAAAUAUAUGAAAUAUUUAACGUAGAACACGUGUUACAGUAUUUAAUAGGCGAAACGCAUAUGCAUAAGCAUUAUGUAUUGUAAUUACUACCGUUUAUGUAAACAGCAGAUGUAACAGAAU